rnacentral:rRNA from 1 species
UACGGGGGGGUGCAAGCGUUAUUCGGAAUUACUGGGCGUAAAGAGCGCGUAGGCGGUCUCUUAAGUCAGGUGUGAAAGCCCGGGGCUCAACCCCGGAAGUGCACUUGAAACUAAGGGACUUGAGUAUGGGAGAGGGAAGUGGAAUUCCUGGUGUAGCGGUGAAAUGCGUAGAUAUCAGGAGGAACACCGGUGGCGAAGGCGACUUCCUGGACCGAUACUGACGCUGAGACGCGAAAGCGUGGGGAGCAAACAGG